GAGAUCGGAGAUGGAGAUGGAGAUGGAGAGAGACGGGAUUUGGGCAAGAAUGAAGGUGUGAGGAUAUGAGUGGAGAGAAUGAGCAAGAGAGUUAUUGUGAGAGUGAUAUGAAUCGGGGAGAGAGAAUGAGAGUUGGGAUGUGAGAGUUGGUUUAAGUGUCAAAAAAAUGAUCUUACAGUCAUGACCAAAAAAAAAACAAAAAAACUUCUGGUUUUCCAGACGACAGUCAUCUGCCAUCUCAACAAUUCGCGAAUUCUAAUCGUUGCGCGUUUGCUAUAUUCAGACGACAGAUAUUUAAAUGUCUGUCGUUAAAAUUUAUCAGACGACAGUAAAAACGACUUUUGUCGUCUGAUCCCUAUCGUAUGAUUGCAAAAUUGACGUAGUGUUUUCUCCAUUAUAUUUACAAGAAUGCCACUAGAAUAAAAAGUCAACAACCACUCUCAUUUCGGAAUAGUCUCCGGCGGACCUCCGGUGAGAUUUCCAGCGGACCUCCGGCGAGGUUUCCGGCGAGAUUUCCGACCAACCUCCAGCGAGGUUUCCGGCCGACCUCCGAUGAUGACAAAAAUUACUACUACCAGCUAUAAAAGCUACUACCACCAGCUACAAAAGCUACUACUACCGCCUACAAAAGCUACUACUGUGACGUUUCCGAUGAACACAAAAUCUACUACCACCAGCCACAAAAGCUACUACCACCGCUUACAAAAACUACUAUUGUGAGAUUUUCGACGAACACAAAAACUACUACCAUCAGCCAUAAAAGCUACUACCACCAGCUACAAAAGCUACUACCACCGCCUACAAAAGCUACUACUGUGAGAUUUCGGACGAACACAAAAAAUACUACCACCAGCCACAAAAGCUACUAGCACAUCUACAAAAACUACUACCACCAGCUACAAAAGCUACUACCACCGCCUACGAAAGCUACUACUGUGAGGUUUCCGAAAAAUACAAAAAAUACUACCACCAGCCACAAAAGCUACUAUCACCAUCUACAAAAACUACUCCUCCUUCUCCACUGACUAAAACCAUGUGAAGCCUCUCUGCCAUAGACUUGCACCCAAUUUCUAUACAUCAUCAUUUUUGUACCAAUCCAGUGACGCUUUGUAAGUGUUGAUAUGCUUUUGCUAACACAAAAAGACUUCAAAUUGGAGAUCGACGUCAGAGAGAGACGACUCCAAAUCAGAGAUCGACGUCGGAGAGGAAAUCGAAAUCGAAGAUCGACGUUUAGAGAGAGACGACUCCAUAUCGGAUUUGACGACGUCGACUCCGAAGACGGCGACAAUCCUCGCCGGGAAAAGCAAGCCGCGCAUGUUGCGGACUGGGCUCGUGACCUCUAUGUCAGUUCCGAUCUAAAAUUGAGAUGAGUCAGCAGAUCGGGGUGUGGUGCUCGGAGGCGGAGAAGAGCAGCAAACGAGGAUGAGGUCGCCGGAGAUGGUAGAGGCGGGGAUGAGGUUGCCGGCGAAGAGAGAGAGAGAGAGAGAGAGAGAGAGAGAGAGAGAGAGAGAGAGAGAGAGAGAGAGAGAGAGAGAGAGAGAGAGAGAGAGAGAGAGAGAGAGAGAGAGAG
rnacentral:lncRNA from 1 species